rnacentral:lncRNA from 1 species
CAUAUACAUUUACAUUUUUAUUUUCCUACUUCCAGUCUCCCAUUCUCCAUUCAUUUAAACACUUGGAGAAAAACAGAGAAAUGCAAGAUUUUUGUUCAGCCAUUAUAGCCCAGAUGCAUUACGUGUAUUAAUAUUACCUAAAUAAAUUCUCAAAGCAACUCUGAUACAAAAGCAACCUGAAUUUUUCAGGUGAGGAAAUUGAGGCACAAGAAGAAUGAGAAACAUGCUCCUUCAUAUCAUUAAUGAGUUUACGAUUUGGAAAUAGGAAUCAGCUUCAUGUGACUCCAAUAAUGGUGAUAUCUUCUACUGAUACAAUCUUAUUUUAAAAUCUCUGAUAAAAAUUUAUUUCCUUGAUUUAAAAAUCUGAUGACUCUUAACUCCUUAUUGUUAUAAAGUUAAAAAUUCUUAGCAUGACAUUUAAUAUCCUCCUUAAUCCAGCUCCCUCUGUAUUUCUCGAGUUGUCUCACUACUUUUCUUCUCUUGUCUUUUAUCUAUUCAAUAUGGACUAUUUUCCUAAACAAGACUAGUUGUACCCCCCUUUAACAAUCUGUGCUGUUCAUUCCCACUGAAAUUAUUUUCUCUUCCUUUAUACAUAUUUCUUGAUAUUUUAUAUCAAUCAAGUCCUAGGAUCAAUGCCACCUCCUCCAUGAAGCCUUUCCUCAUCUCUCUUAGCCAAGCCAACUAUUGCUGCAUCUCUUGUUUGAAACUUAUGCAAUCUGAUCCUAUGCUAUAGUUAUUUGUGCAUCUGUCUUAACUCCUUUAUCAAAUUCUUGGAAAAAAAGAAACUCAUAUUUUCCACAGUGCUUCAUGUAGCUCUUGAUACACAGUAGAUGUUCAAUAAUUAUCUCCAAUGAAUGAAUGAAAGUGAUUGACAAAUGAAGAGAAACUUUAGAUUUUGUGCUGUGUUAGUGGGGUUCUUUUUUUGUUGGUUCUCAUAGAAAUUUUCAGAACUGCUAAAAUGAGAGUUGCUCACAUUAGAAUCUCCAAAUGUGAUUCUCAGGAUAGGUCUGGAAUAGUAAUAGGUAAAACAACCCACUUGUACACGCAUGGAAACAUUCCAAAAUGUCACAGAUCCUGGAUUUAAAAACAAUGACGAUUACAUUAAUAUGGAAAACACAUGCCGUAAUUAAGGAUGUAUAUGCAUGUGUGCAUGCACUAUCUUAGACUUUUUUAUUGGAUUGACAUAGCUACUUACCAAAGAAUAGAACCAUUUGUGACACAGAAUGUUAGGAUAAUUUGUCAGUAACACAUGCAUUGCUACAAGUUAUAACAGUAAAAAAAAUAUUAUAAAUUAAGGCACCCAUGGGUCAUUCAACUCGGCUGGCAAUACACCUGAACAAAAAAGGAGUGCUGGACUUAAUCUCCAAGUCUGUCAUUUAUUUCUUUCGCACAAAAAGUAUGGGACACAGGUGGUCAGAAGUCAAAGAUCAUACUCUGCUUGAACGCUCCAUAAGGCACAGUGCAAAUGUAUGAGACCUGCUGGGUGAAAUCAAAAAGUCACUGGAAUGGGGUGCAAUUUUAGUGACCCAGGUCAAAGGUCAUACUGCUUUUGGUGUUAUACAAAUGUUUGACAGAUUAAAUACCCACCUCCUAGGGAUAACAAAUAGGCCAUGGAGCUAAAAGUAUUCAUAAGCGUUAAAGCUUCAUUCAGAAUUCUCCUUAUGAAGGAUGUAGGUCAUAUAAGAUUAGUAAUAUGGUUAUAAUAAUUUUUCCCAUUGUUGAAAAAUUAUGCCCUGGCUGAUAUCUCUGAGUGUAAUUGCAGAUGUAGAAAAAAGAAAAAAAAAGUGAAGAAAAGCAACAAUGACUAGAAAUAUUGAAGAUUAGAAAAAGAGAAAAAAAGCAACAGUUAUGUCCAGACCUUUCUUUUCUUGAAAUAUAGCAAUACCUGUUAAAGCAUUUUUUCAUAUUUUGUCACUUUUUUUUCUUGCAUGCAGGGUCAUUUUAUCACUAAUCCAUGUAAAUUAUUUUGCUGAUAUUCAGCAUUUUGCAUAGUUGAAUACCUCUAGGAAGUUAAUAUGUUUAUAAAGAUAUGUUUGGCAAGUAAUCUGGGGGUGUUACCAGGACAAUGAAAUAAGUAAUGUAUGGAAAAGUGCUGUAUGCAUAUUGUAAAAUCCUCUGAAAUUAGGGCAGUAUUAUUAUUUAACACAGUUAUUCUUUAUCCUUAUUUGAACUCUUGGAAAAAUAUGUACACAAAAUUAGUUUCUGUUGUAAUGUGCUUCUAUAUUUUGUAGUACUCUUUUACAAUUUGAAAAUAAUAAUUUACCUUCCUUUGUAGUUUUAUCUAAGUAAAUGGUGCAAAUUAUGGUGACUCAGAAUCACCUGGAGGGCUUGUUAAACCAUAGAUUGCCGGGCUCCACCCUACAGUUUCUGAUUCAUUAGGUCUGGGUGGGUCUAAGAACUAGUAUUUCUAACAAGUGCCUGCAAGAUACUGAUGAAUCUAGGCUAGAGACUGUACUUUGGAAACCACUGAUUUAAGCAUUGUGCCAUGAUAGUAGCCUAAAGAGUGAACUAAUUCACUUAAUAAUCUAGAUCUGUUCAAAUAUGAUAAUAUUUUAUGUAUUUUAUGACUUGUCAAUGUAAUGAUAAUACUUUAUUUAGUUUUCACUUUCAUCUGGAUACUUUAUAAAAAUGUAGAUUCAGAAUUUGUCUUUCUUCCCAAGCUACGUAUCAACAUCAACAUUGUUUUCUUUAAUAGUUGCUCUUAGAAGAUCCCAAAACCAUUUUUUUAAAGAGUAUUAAUUAAUUUACUUGAAACUUGUUAAAUUCACUAUCAAUAUCAUUGUCAUUGUUCUUUGACAUUAGAGAUAAUGAUGAUCACAUUUCUACCAGAAAGAAUGUCACUAGAAUCUCCAGGCAUUUAUUUUAUGAAUUAAAUCAUGUUUGUCUGCCUAUACACUUACAUAUUAACUGCUGUUUCAGGAUUUUACUGUGUGUAACUUCUUUUUUUAUUGUAAGUGGUAAAAGCUACCUCUGUCUCCAAUGUUUUUAUUUUAUAUUUGUUAUUAUCUGCUUUUUUCUCAGAGGGCAAUGCCUUUGUCACAUAGAUUUUAUAUCUUUUAACAGUAAUCCCAAGUUACUCUGGUUUUAACAUAUAACAUGGAAAGGGCUUAGAGAAAUGAUGCCAAAGUAAUUUACCUCUUAUAUGCACCUGGAGAGGUGAGACGCAUUGAAUCUAUUGUCAGUAGUAGACUUUGUAUACCAAAGUAACUUAUUUAUGUUGUUUUAUACCAAGAGGUAGACAGAAAGAUGGUGGACAUGUAGGGAUAUAGGAUGUGAAUGAGACACAAAACCCUUAGCAACACAUCAAAAUGCUACAGGUGGUAUUAAUAUUGGUUUAGUUUGCUAUUGAUUUUUCCCUCAUUUUCUCCUCUGGUUAUGUAGUUUACUUUGAGGCCAUUUCUCUGUUGAUUUUUUUCCUAGGUCAUAAGAUAGAGGAAAGCACAUAAUAGCCUUGGUGACCAUAAUUUUUCAAUUUAUAGUAAUUCUCACCACACCUCAUUGUAGAUGAAAACUUCUAGUUAUUUCAAUCAUCAUUUCAAUAAUUCUUCAUGUUUAAGAUAUUGAUUUGUUAAAUUCUUCUAGACUUUUUACUUACACAAACACACACACACACACACACACACACACACACACACCCCAGUGCUUUCAGUCUUAAAAAAAGAAGCAGGAAAGGAUGACUAACAGGCAAGUCAAGAAAUAUGGUAAAUAUAAAAAUAUGUGCUAAAAGCACAUUGUGCUUAACUUUGCUUUUUAAUAAUCCCUUGGAAACCUAGACAUGACAUCCAUUAUUAGAUUUUCAAAUUUAUUUUUAUUUUUAGCAUAAUACGUAUAUUUAUGUAAAAUAUAGAGAUAAUACAAGUGAAUUUUCAUAUUGAGAAUAAAAUAAAAAUAUUGAGAAUAGAGACAAUAUAGAGAAAGCAUUAUGUAGGACAUUGGUAUGUGUAUGAGAAGUGGUAAAAACAAAACAAAACACAAAGUGCAGACGCAGUGUACAUUUUUUCUCUUCUGAAAUGUUAUCGAACAUGAUAAAUAUGACCACAAAUAUGAUAAAAAUGUUACUCUCCAAAAAUGUUAUCAAAUAAGACUCUGUAUGCCUCAGUUGCCUCAGACUCACUUUCUUCUACUGUAAAAUUCACAUUCAGAACCUUAUCCAUCCCGUCGAAACUGUAGGUGCAAUCUUAUAACUGUGUGUUAACAAAUCAGCUGACUUUAUUUGAAGAUUGCAUUUUUUAAUAAAUUUUUUUAUUUCAUCUUUACUGCUGCCAUGACAAUGAAUUUAUUAAAAUCUUCUCCCAAAUGAUUUAAAUUUCAGACUUAUCUAGUAUAUUGGAAAAAGUUUUUUUCUCAAUUAAAAAUUAUGAGAGAGGAGGAGGAAAGUGGUAAUGAUGUGCAGAGGUCUAUGUCUGUGUUUGUGUGUUUCUCUCCAUGUGUAAGUUUGAAUGUAUGUCCUCACACAUUCAAUACUAUUGAGAGAAAGUCAGGGGAUAAUUACUUGUGAGGAAAUUCCCAUAAUCUCAUGGGAAAGUCUAUCCUGAAAACAAAUGAUCCUUCUUCACCCAUACUAUUUAUUGAUACUGUGUAUUUAUGUUUAACUCUAAUAUACUUCCAUUGUUUAUAUUAUAGUUUAUUUCUUCCUCAGUCUUUUUAUUCAUUAGUCUAUAAGCCCUGAUUCAUUUUCUUCAGAAAAAUAAUCAAAUUCCAUACCAUACAUAUAGGACAUAUAGGGUCUAGGCAACAAAUUUUGAUGAACUAAAUUAUUAUCCCAUUUCAGUCUUACAGUUGUAUUCUCUAAAGGGGAAGAGAGUUUGGUAUUACAUAACUAGAUCUCUUUUCUCAGCCACAGAAAUAUGUAGAUGGGAUAAAGUAAAUAAUAGUAAUAAAUGACAUAUAAAAAUAAAUGCAAUAUUUGGCAAUAUUCACACCAAGAAAUUUAUCUGGAUUCACUCAUCUUCCUGCUUCCAGUCAUUUAAGCAAAUGGAGAUCUUUUUUAAAAAACUGAAAGUUGAUGUUAAAACUGACUCAAAAAUAGUGUAAUGGUAUCCAGGUUAAAUAUUCCUAAGACAAAAUAAGGCAUUGUUUUAUUCAGCACAUAACUUGAGUUGUAGCAGCUUCUAAUAAGGAAGUUCCCUGUGAAUGGCUGAAAGAGAUUUUUCAAUUGAUAUCCUUACAUAAAUCAGCUCUACAGAUAUUGAAUUAUACUUUUCAAAAUUAGGCUAAGAAAAUGAAAUCUUCCUAAGUAGUAAGUAUAUUGAUUAUUGUUUAUCUUAUGUAAUUUUCUGAAAUACUGCCAAAUAGGGUUUAAAGAUCUGAAUCUUUAGUUAUCUUUUCUUAUUUUUCUGCUUUUAUGGGUUGUUGCAAAAGAAUGCAUGCUUCACAGAGCUGAGGAAAACAGAAUUACGGUCACACCAAGCAAGGGCCAAGAUGUGGUCAAAACUUAGAGUUAGCACAGCCCGGAGUUGCCUAUCUCCAGGUGAAUUGUUGUCUAUGGGAUGCAUUUUCAAACGGUAAUUCUCUCCUGUUGGUUGUCAGAAAAGCAUAGUUCAUUUUUUUUCAGAAAGAUAUGUUUAUAAUACUUAUAUUUCUUUAAUCUAUAAGAUAAAGCUGAAGACACAGUCUACUUACAAAAUAUGAAAUUAACCUGGAGUUAUAUAAACAUGCCAAAAGAGGAAAGAAAUUUACACUGGAGCUGUAGCGAGACAUUGAGGUUUGGAAGCAGAAACAGAAUUAAUGUAGAGAGAAGAUGCCAUUGAUAGAACAGUCCACAUCAGAAAAUCUCUGCUCUUGACAGCAAGAAAAGUUCUCUAAAGUCCACAGAUACACAUUUUGGAUAUGCCACCUAGAGAUGAUGUAAGUGUUGUCAAGUUUCCUUUCCUGGAUUUUAUGUUCUUCAGGAUGAGAAACAGAAGUACAUAAUUUGGCAAAAAGAAAAGUGAUUCUCCUUUUGCCUAAGAGGCAAAUGUUUUAGUGAUGUGCACAAUGAAAACACUACAAAUUCCAACUGGUAUGUGAUGCUGUUCUAAAUGUGGGAGUGACAGAGAUGGAGUUGAGAUGUUGUUGAUCACAGCAGGAAAUGUCAUCAUAAGAAUUUUGUAAAUGAAGAUUUAAUAAGUUCAUGUGGAUAGACCACUUAGAACACUGCCUUCCACAGAGCAGAUCCGAGUUUUGCUGGAUACAAAAUUCUCGGUUGGCAGUUAUGCUGUUUAAGAAGGCUAAAGAUAGGACCACAAUCUCUUCUGGCUGGUAAAGUUUCUGCUGAGUACUUUUCUAUAUUUAUGAAAGAAAGUAAUAUAUUACCAUUAGAUGAAUUCUAAAAUUUGUCUCAAUUUUUAUACUAAAGAGUAUACUCUUUGUUUUAUAGAUGAAGAAGCUGAAAUCUAAAAUUGGUAGUGAAUUGUCCAAGGUCAGAUGCAUAAUAAAUGGCAGAAAUGUACUAAAAUCUAGAUUUUGAUUCCAUAACUAAUGUACCUUUCACAAUAGUUACUCACUUUGUUGCCUCGUAACAGUGGACACUUUAUAGCUCAUCACAAUGAAGAGUAAUUUGAACAUCCUUGGAUUUCCAAUUCUACUUUUUGACUCCAAUAGCAAUAAAAACUGAUAUCAUUUUAUAGUAAAAAACACUAUAGACAAAGUUCAUUGAGCCCUGAUAGCUCCUAUUUGUCAAUUUUAAUGUAGAUUUAUUAUGAAUAUGAUUGCCCUAAUGAAUAUCUGUUUAUUGUUGUCAAAGCCACAUAAUGAAGAACCUGUAAUGAUUUGGACAUUAAGCUGAGUCCAUGUUCAAUGAACAUGUCUAAUUUAUGUUAAUACAAACUGCAUCAGUAGAGUUGGAGCCAUGGAUUUUCGAUAAAGCAUGAACUAAAGCCAGUAUUUAAAUUUUUAAACAUAAUUUGUUUAUGUAAUUGUAUAAUGUGCCUUUUUCUUAUAAACUAUAACUAUUAACUUGUUCAUUUUUUGAAUGUAUACCUAAAAAAGCAUUUGCCACAUGCAAGACAGGAUUUGUAAGAAUAAUAUUAUUAAGUAUUAUUCUAAAGUUAUAUUUUACUACUCUUCCCAGUUUAAGGAUAUAGUGAGUACUAAUUUUUUUCCUGUAAAUUUUGUUUUAGCAUUUUGGGAUAUUUCUACUCACAAAUAUUUACUUCAAUAAUUAUGUCCUUAUGUAUUUUCUGUUAGUUUUCUGUGACUCAACUCUUUAAAUUUCUAAACUUAAGAACAUUUUGAGAAAACCACAAUUUUCAAUUUUAUAAAGAUAAGCACCUGCUUGUUUGUAAGCUUAUGAAAAUCUUAUACAAAACUUUUUGCUUGGCGGAGAUGUGGAGCAAGAUGGCAAGUAGAAUCCUUGACUGAUCAUUGUCCCUGUGGGAAUACCACAUUGAACAACACCCCCACACAGAAAAAAGCACUUUCAUAGGAACCAGAAAUCAGGUGAGUAGUCCGAGUACCUGGUUUUAACUUCAUAUCACUGAUAUAGUCACUUAAAAGAGUAAGAAAGAGAGUCUUGACUUACCAGUACCAAUCCUUUCCCAUCCCCCUGACAGUGGUUGAUUGUUGUGGAGACAGAAUCUUUGUGCUUGGGGAAGGGAGAGCACAAUGAUGGUGGGAUUUUGGCAUUGAAACUCAGAGUUGCCCUGUCAGAACAGUAGUACCAGGCAGAAUUCAGUUGUUUCCCACAGAAGGAGCAUUUAGACCAGUCCUAGCCAAAAGGGAAUCACCCAACUCAGUGGUCAGAAUUGAUUUCUAGGAAGCCUUGCCACAAUGUGCUAAAGUGUGCUGUGAUCCUAAAUAAACUUGCCAGGCAGUCUAUGCCACAAGGUCUGCAAUUCCUGGGAAAGUCCAGGUGCUAAGCUGGGCUCAGAGCCAGUGGUCUUGUGGGGCACAUAACCCAUUGAGACACCAGCUGGGACAGACAAGGGAGUUCUUGCACCACCCAUAACCCAACCCAAGGCAGUGCUGCUUGCAGCUCCAGGAGUUACUCUUGCCUUCUGCUUGAGGAACAGAGAAAGGAGAGUAAAAAGGGCUUUGUCUUACAACUUAGAAAUCAGCUUAAUCACAGUAGGAUAGGACACCAGGCAGAGUCCUGAGGCCCCGAUUCUAGGCCCUAGUUUAUUGGCAAUAUUUUUAUACACACACUGGGUCAGAAGGAAAUCUGCUGCCUUGAAGGGAAUUACCCAUCCCUGGCAGCAUCAUCGCUUACUAACUAAAGAGAUUUUGGGCCCUGAAUAAUCAGCAGCAGUACCCAGGAAGUACUCAUGGUAGUACUUGAGUGAGACUAAGAGACAUGCCAGAUUCAGAUGUGACACAGAACACUUUCAGCUGUAAUGGCUAUGGGGAGAGACGCCUGCUUGAGAAAAGAGGAGCAAGAGUAAAGGGGAAUUUGUCUUGAAGCUUAGGUAUCAGCUUGGCAACAGCGGGGUAGAGCAAAAAGGGAACUCUUGGGGUCUCUGAUUCCAGGACUUAGCUCUUGAGUGGCAUUUCUGGGCCACCUUGGACCAGAAGGGAGCCCACUUCCCUAAAAGGAGAGUACAAGGCCUGGCAACAUUCACCAUAAGCUUAACGAAGAGCCCUAUGGCCUUCAGUGGACAUUGGUGUUAGCCAGGAAUACUCACCAUAGCUCAGGGGCACUGGUGGUCAUGGAGAGAGACUCCUCUGCUUGUGAAAGUGGAGGGAAGAGUGGGAAAGAAUUUGUCUUAUGGCUUGGAUGCCAGCUCAGUUGCAGUAGAGUAGAAUGCCAGGUAGAGUCCUAAGAUUUCUGACUGCAGGCUCUGGCUCCCAGAUGGCAUCUCUGGACCUGCCCAGUGUCAGGAAGAACUUGUCACCCUGAAGGAAAGGAUACAAGCCUGGCUAGCUUUGCCACUUGGUGAUUGUAGCUUCCUCAGGCCUUGAACAAACAUAAGUGGUAGUGAGGCAGUGAUUACUGCAGACCUUAGGCAAGAACCUGUGCUGUGCUGGCUUCAGUUCUGACCCAGCACAGUCCCAGUGGUGGUGGUCACAGGGGUGCUUAUGAUACAACUCCACCAGCUCCAGGAAGCUCACCACAGACAGAGAGAGUCAAUUUUUUUUUUUUUUUUUUUUGUGCGGGGAGAAAGU